ACGCUCGACACCUACGGGAAGCAGCAGUGAGGAAUAUUGGUCAAUGGGCGCUAGCCUGAACCAGCCAAGUAGCGUGAAGGAUGAAGGCUCUAUGGGUCGUAAACUUCUUUUAUAUAAGAAUAAAGUGCAGUAUGUAUACUGUUUUGUAUGUAUUAUAUGAAUAAGGAUCGGCUAACUCCGUGCCACAGCCGCGGUAAUCUGAGCGGGCUGGCAAGGC
rnacentral:rRNA from 1 species